UCUAUAAAUUAUGUUACCAGCAGCUUUCAACAUCUCACAUCAAUCAACGAUUAGUGGUUACGAAACCUCAAUCGCAGCGCAGGUGACCUAUCGAAUCGUGACAGGAGCAUAUAGUGACGGUAUCGAACUUGUUGCUCGGAUGGUUUUUAAAUCUUCUGAAUUAGUUUGCAGUUUUGGAACUUUUUGUUCCAUUACGGAUUUACCUACAUUAUAUUCUUAUGUAAUUGUUUUCAAUUGUUUUUUUGUUUGUUAUAAACUAGUGAUUGGGGUGUCCACUGAAUGAGUUAGAUCUCUGUUAUACUUUUUUUUCAAGUUUUUGUUAUAUGUUAUUGUAAUAACUGGAUGUUGUUUGUUUGUUUGUUUGUUGAUCAAGUGAUGAGAAAAAUAACUGCAACAAAAUGAUAUUUGUUUGUGAUUAUUAUUCGUAUUUAAGUCUCUGAUGAUGAACAAAUAUUUGUUUAAAUUUACUGCUUUUUUUGUUUGUUAAUUUGGAGAAAUGAUGAGGAAUUAAUUGGUUCGUGUU